rnacentral:rRNA from 1 species
GGAAGCAGCUUGCUGCUUCGCUGACGAGUGGCGGACGGGUGAGUAAUGUCUGGGAAACUGCCUGAUGGAGGGGGAUAACUACUGGAAACGGUAGCUAAUACCGCAUAACGUCGCAAGACCAAAGAGGGGGACCUUCGGGCCUCUUGCCAUCGGAUGUGCCCAGAUGGGAUUAGCUAGUAGGUGGGGUAACGGCUCACCUAGGCGACGAUCCCUAGCUGGUCUGAGAGGAUGACCAGCCACACUGGAACUGAGACACGGUCCAGACUCCUACGGGAGGCAGCAGUGGGGAAUAUUGCACAAUGGGCGCAAGCCUGAUGCAGCCAUGCCGCGUGUAUGAAGAAGGCCUUCGGGUUGUAAAGUACUUUCAGCGGGGAGGAAGGGAGUAAAGUUAAUACCUUUGCUCAUUGACGUUACCCGCAGAAGAAGCACCGGCUAACUCCGUGCCAGCAGCCGCGGUAAUACGGAGGGUGCAAGCGUUAAUCGGAAUUACUGGGCGUAAAGCGCACGCAGGCGGUUUGUUAAGUCAGAUGUGAAAUCCCCGGGCUCAACCUGGGAACUGCAUCUGAUACUGGCAAGCUUGAGUCUCGUAGAGGGGGGUAGAAUUCCAGGUGUAGCGGUGAAAUGCGUAGAGAUCUGGAGGAAUACCGGUGGCGAAGGCGGCCCCCUGGACGAAGACUGACGCUCAGGUG